GUGACCUAUCCAAGCAAACCGAGUAUAAAAAUUGACCACCACGCGGAAAGCUCUUUAUUUGCUCCUGUUGAGGCGAUGGAGUGUUUUGUCAGCUAAUUUUUCAGAUGCAGUAAUGGACACGUUCCGGAGGCUGGAUUAUGACUGGAAGGCUCAAGGUCAACCAAAAGUGGCCCUAAUUCUGCUGUGGAGAUGUUUAAAGCUAGCCUGUCGUCUUAUGAUGAUGACAGUUAUUGUUUUCAAAAUCCCCUACUUAGCACGAAAAAUAUCAGAAUUCUUCAAAUCGAAGUCUGGGUCGAUGGUAGGAAAAGGAGCAGUAGUAACACUUUCCAUGAAAACUCUUCAAACACAAAUUAAAAACCAUGGCACUGAGAUUUUCCGACGUUCCGCCAUUGUAGGGAAAGUGGCACCAAAUUUGAAACUCGUGGACGUAAAGUCAAAAAAGUUGAUGAAACUGUUAGACUUUCAAACACCUGGUAGGCCUCUGAUUGUCAACUUUGGUAGCUGUACCUGACCUCCGUUCAUGAUGAAGUUUGCGAUGUUCAAGCAGAUUGUUUCUGAUUUUUCGGACACCGCAGACUUUGUUGUUGUUUACGUCAGAGAGGCGCAUCCCAUUGACGGAUGGAGCAUUUUAGGAACCAAAUACUCUCAUAUUUCUUCUCACACAUCUCAAAAAGAACGAUUAGACGCUGCUCGACUAUUGUUAAACGAGGGCUGUCCGUGCCCACUACUUAGUGACACCAUGGAUAAUGCUGGUGCCAUUCAAUACGCCGCCGUUCCCGAAAGGUUGUUCAUAAUCUAUGAUAACAUCAUCCAGUAUGCAGGCCAAGGCGCAGGCCCGGAAAACUACAAACCGGAAGCUGUCAUUCAGUGGCUGACCAAUUAUCGACGUGCAAAGUAAUUUGAAAUCGGAUAUUCAUGAUAGAACACUAUGACAGAAAAACUUUUCCGUAAGGAACCAUAGUUUUAUGUUCAUCUGUCAUUACAUAUUGACUUUAACGUGUCAUUCUCUAGUAAUCUUCCUUGCUUUUAAGCUUUUCUUGGAAAUGACGAUGAUGUUUGAAAGUGUAAAUGAAAACUUAACUUCAUCUGAAGAAUGGAAAUAAGACUGUUUAAAAGUGACUUGAUUACAGGAUUUAAUUAAAAUGCUAGUUACUCAUUUUAACAACUUUUCAGGUUCAACGCCAUCUUUAGAUUAUAAGGGACCACUUAGAGUGUCAUCUUAAAUAAAAUUAAAUUUCCAUA